GUGCUCGCUUCGGCAGCACAUAUACUAAAAUCAGAAUG
rnacentral:snRNA from 1 species